UUACGCUGUUAUCCCUAAGGUAAUUUAGCCUUUUAAUCACUAUUCAUGGAUCAAAUAUCUAUAAAUAAAUAUUUUACAAUAAAAAGAGUUAAUUUUAUCUUCUCAUCACCCCAAUAAAAUAAUAUUCAAUAUAAAUAUUUUUCAAACCAAAUAAUUAUUAAAUAUUAUAAAACUCUAUAGGGUCUUCUCGUCCCAUAAAAAAAUUUAAGCUUUCUUACUCAAUAAUUAAAUUCUAAAUUUAAUUAAAAGACAGUUUAUAUCUCGUCCAACCAUUCAUUCCAGCCUCUAAUUAAAAGACUAAUGAUUAUGCUACCUUUGCACGGUCAAAUUACCGCGGCCCUUCAAUUUAUAUCAGUGGGCAGGUUAUAUUCCAUAAUAUAAACAAGAAAAGAUGUUUUUGUUAAACAGGCG
rnacentral:rRNA from 1 species